CCCCUUUCAGGGUCGCAUCUGGAGAGUUUCCAGUACUCUACGAGUCUCGGCUGCAGGACGGAGAGUCAAGCAGAAGCAUACCCAUUCCAAUCCUAGCAUGGGCAGUGGCAAGCGAGUGGAAGACAAUCUGCUACAAGU